UUACUUACACGGUUAAAGGGAAGUUGGGAUAGUGUCUCUCUCACUUGGGUUUACCUCAGGGUUCGGGAAGGCCUCCUAUCCUUAAAUUCUAGAGCAAAGUGUGGGUA
rnacentral:sRNA from 1 species